rnacentral:misc_RNA from 1 species
AUCUCUUCAUUUCCAAUCAUUCAAUAAGAGCUAUUGAACAAGAAAAUGUCAAGCUCAAAAUGCCAAGUGUUAUGUUGCUGUUGCACCUUCUCAUUUUUUCGGUUAUAAACAACGUUGAGUCUUCUUUUUCUCCAAAAUAGGUUAGUUAUCUGCCUUUCUCCAAUUUAGGGUUUGUGUAUGCAACAUUCAAGGAUCCUCUCAUAAUUCAUAAUUGACCUUGAAAUUGACUACAUAAAUAAAA